rnacentral:rRNA from 1 species
UACGUAGGGUGCGAGCGUUAAUCGGAAUUACUGGGCGUAAAGCGUGCGCAGGCGGCGCGUUAAGACAGGUGUGAAAGCCCCCGAGCUUAACUUGGGAAUUGCGCUUGUGACUGGCGUGCUGGAGUGUGGCAGAGGGAGGUGGAAUUCCACGUGUAGCAGUGAAAUGCGUAGAGAUGUGGAGGAACACCGAUGGCGAAGGCAGCCUCCUGGGCCAGCACUGACGCUCAUGCACGAAAGCGUGGGGAGCGAUCCGGAUUCGAGAAACC